rnacentral:rRNA from 1 species
GACGAACGCUGGCGGCGUGCUUAAACACAUGCAAGUCGAACCGGAAAAGGCCCCCACCUUUGGUGGGGGUGCUCGAGUGGCGAACGGGUGAGUAACACGUGGGUGAUCUGCCCUGCACUUCGGGAUAAGCUUGGGAAACUGGGUCUAAUACCGGAUAGGACCAUGGUUUAGUGUCUCAUGGUGGAAAAAUUAUUGUUUUGGUGCAGGAUGAGCUCGCGGCCUAUCAGCUUGUUGGUGGGGUAAUGGCCUACCAAGGCGUCGACGGGUAGCCGGCCUGAGAGGGUGGACGGCCACAUUGGGACUGAGAUACGGCCCAGACUCCUACGGGAGGCAGCAGUGGGGAAUAUUGCACAAUGGGCGCAAGCCUGAUGCAGCGACGCCGCGUGGGGGAUGACGGCCUUCGGGUUGUAAACUCCUUUCGUUAGGGACGAAGCCGCAC